rnacentral:ncRNA from 1 species
AAACUCUGGAGAAUUCAUUAAGUUGAAUACCGAAGGUGCAAGGCUCACAGAAAAUCAUUUUUUCCGAUGUGCGCUCAAUCUCUCAGGUAAACAGACAGAG